GACGAACGCUGGCGGCGUGCUUAACACAUGCAAGUCGAACGGAAAGGCCCUGCUUUUGUGGGGUGCUCGAGUGGCGAACGGGUGAGUAACACGUGAGUAACCUGCCCUUGACUUUGGGAUAACUCCAGGAAACUGGGGCUAAUACCGGAUAGGAGCUCCUGCUGCAUGGUGGGGGUUGGAAAGUUUCGGCGGUUGGGGAUGGACUCGCGGCUUAUCAGCUUGUUGGUGGGGUAGUGGCUUACCAAGGCUUUGACGGGUAGCCGGCCUGGGAGGGGGACCGGCGACAAUGGGCCUGAGAGAGGGCCCAGAAGCCAACGGGACGCAACAGUGGGGAAUAUUGCAGAGCGGGCGGAAGCCUGUUGCGACGACGCUGCGUGCGGGAUAACGGCUUUCGGGUUGUAAACCGCUUUCGCAUGUGACGAAGCGUGAGUGACGGUACUGGGUAAAGAAGCACCGGCUAACUACGUG
rnacentral:rRNA from 1 species